AUUGAACGCUGGCGGCAUGCCUUACACAUGCAAGUCGAACGGCAGCAUGGAGAGCUUGCUCUCUGAUGGCGAGUGGCGAACGGGUGAGUAAUGCAUCGGAACGUACCGUGUAAUGGGGGAUAACGUAGCGAAAGUUACGCUAAUACCGCAUACGACCUGCGGGUGAAAGCAGGGGAUCGCAAGACCUUGCGUUAUACGAGCGGCCGAUGUCAGAUUAGCUAGUUGGUGAGGUAAAGGCUCACCAAGGCGACGAUCUGUAGCGGGUCUGAGAGGAUGAGCCGCCACACUGUGACGGAGACACGUCCCAGACUCCUACGGGAGGCAGGAGUAGGGAAUUUUGGACAAUGGGGGCAACCCUGAUCCAGCCAUGCCGCGUGAGUGAAGAAGGCCUUCGGGUUGUAAAGCUCUUUCGGCCGGGAAGAAAUCGCACAGGCUAAUACUCUGUGUGGAUGACGGUACCGGCAUAAGAAGCACCGGCUAACUACGUGCCAGCCGCCGCGGUAA
rnacentral:rRNA from 1 species